GACGAUAAAGGCAAACUCUGAGUAAUCAGAGGACGCAAAGCUACAGACCUUGUUUUGCAUAAAAACGGACAAGGUGGCUGGGUUGCCGAAA
rnacentral:ncRNA from 1 species